rnacentral:antisense_RNA from 1 species
UUUCGCGUUUGGCUUGUUAUCAACAAUCGCGUUACCGACCGCAUGCAAUAGGUGAGUUUUACCCAAGCCAGUACCACCGUA